AUACGGAGGGUGCAAGCGUUAAUCGGAAUUACUGGGCGUAAAGCGCGCGUAGGUGGUUGUGUAAGUCGGAUGUGAAAUCCCCGGGCUCAACCUGGGAACUGCAUUCGAUACUGGCAGGCUAGAGUAUAGUAGAGGCAAGUGGAAUUUCGGGUGUAGCGGUGAAAUGCGUAGAUAUCCGGAGGAACAUCAGUGGCGAAGGCGACUACCUGGACUAACAUUGACGCUGAGGUGCGAAAGCGUGGGGAGCAAACAGGAUUAGAUACCCCGGUAGUCC
rnacentral:rRNA from 1 species